GACGAACGCUGGCGGCGUGCUUAACACAUGCAAGUCGAACGGAAAGGCCCUGCUUUUGUGGGGUGCUCGAGUGGCGAACGGGUGAGUAACACGUGAGUAACCUGCCCUUGACUUUGGGAUAACUUCAGGAAACUGGGGCUAAUACCGGAUAGGAGCUCCUGCUGCAUGGUGGGGGUUGGAAAGUUUCGGCGGUUGGGGAUGGACUCGCGGCUUAUCAGCUUGUUGGUGGGGUAGUGGCUUACCAAGGCUUUGACGGGUAGCCGGCCUGAGAGGGUGACCGGCCACAUUGGGACUGAGAUACGGCCCAGACUCCUACGGGAGGCAGCAGUGGGGAAUAUUGCACAAUGGGCGGAAGCCUGAUGCAGCAACGCCGCGUGCGGGAUGACGGCCUUCGGGUUGUAAACCGCUUUCGCCUGUGACGAAGCGUGAGUGACGGUAAUGGGUAAAGAAGCACCGGCUAACUACGUGCCAGCAGCCGCGGUGAUACGUAGGGUGCGAGCGUUGUCCGGAUUUAUUGGGCGUAAAGGGCUCGUAGGUGGUUGAUCGCGUCGGAAGUGUAAUCUUGGGGCUUAACCCUGAGCGUGCUUUCGAUACGGGUUGACUUGAGGAAGGUAGGGGAGAAUGGAAUUCCUGGUGGAGCGGUGGAAUGCGCAGAUAUCAGGAGGAACACCAGUGGCGAAGGCGGUUCUCUGGGCCUUUCCUGACGCUGAGGAGCGAAAGCGUGGGGAGCGAACAGGCUUAGAUACCCUAGUAGUCCACGCUGUAAACGGUGGGUACUAGGUGUGGGGUCCAUUCCACGGGUUCCGUGCCGUAGCUAACGCUUUAAGUACCCCGCCUGGGGAGUACGGCCGCAAGGCUAAAACUCAAAGGAAUUGACGGGGCCCCGCACAAGCGGCGGAGCAUGCGGAUUAAUUCGAUGCAACGCGUAGAACCUUACCUGGGUUUGACAUGGAUCGGGAGCGCUCAGAGAUGGGUGUGCCUCUUUUGGGGUCGGUUCACAGGUGGUGCAUGGCUGUCGUCAGCUCGUGUCGUGAGAUGCUGGGUUAAGUCCCGCAACGAGCGCAACCCUUGUUCACUGUUGCCAGCACGUUAUGGUGGGGACUCAGUGGAGACCGCCGGGGUCAACUCGGAGGAAGGUGGGGAUGACGUCAAGUCAUCAUGCCCCUUAUGUCCAGGGCUUCACGCAUGCUACAAUGGCUGGUACAGAGAGUGGCGAGCCUGUGAGGGUGAGCGAAUCUCGGAAAGCCGGUCUCAGUUCGGAUUGGGGUCUGCAACUCGACCUCAUGAAGUCGGAGUCGCUAGUAAUCGCAGAUCAGCAACGCUGCGGUGAAUACGUUCCCGGGGCU
rnacentral:rRNA from 1 species